CAAAACUCAAGGAAAAAGAGAGUAGUCAUAAGACGUAAAAGAAGCGAGCUGAUGAUGGUGAAAGAUCAGCAUACAAAUUAUGGUGAACCGCACUUUGGAGAGGGAUAUCUGAACAUAGAGUAGGAUAUCAAGUUGUCUACUUUACAGACUAGAGGUGGUCAUAGCUAGGCUAUGGCAAAUAGAGUGGUACCGCGAUACAUGUCGUCUCUUGA
rfam:Firmicutes bacterium CAG:308 genomic scaffold, scf60